rnacentral:lncRNA from 1 species
GGCGGCGAGGCGCUGCCGGGAGCAGCAGAAGGCAGCGAGGAGAAGCCGUGAAGCUGCAGAGCGGCGGAGUUGUCUUUUUUCCUUCGCAGGCUUGAAUCUUCCUUCCGCCUUGCUGUGCUGUGGGGAGCAGCUGGAGGCGAUUCUCUUGCAUGAGCGAGGGGUGCAGCCUGGUUCCACCCGGCCCUGAGCUCACGGAAGGGCUGGCUGCCCGCAGGGAAGGAGCUCUGCUUGAGGUCUGCUCCUGGGUGGGCUUUUGUGUGCCCUGUUCCUCAGGAAGGGGUAAGCAAGACUCGGGGGAGAAAGCGUUGUGCUUGAUGGCACGGUUUCCUUGGGCAAAGGGUGCUUUGGCAGCAGAGGUUUGCUGUCAGGAGGCAUGAAAGCACUGAAGCCAAUGCUGCCGUGCCCUGGGCCCAGAGACAUCAGCUCCCAGCACGUCCCUGGCGGUGGAUGUGUGCAAGCUCUGUGUCUGCCGGUGGUUGCUGCAAAGGCUUUGUGGUCAGCUGUGCGUGGCUGUUUUGCUCUUGAGGGCGUGGGAACAGAGGGCAACACGCUGAUGGGAGUGAUGGUGUCCUGCUCAGCAAAGGAUGUGCUGGGUGGCAGAAGAGGAUUCUUGGCCGAGCGUGGAAAAUCUCUCUGCUCCUUCCUGAAGGACGCAAUCUUCCACUUGGAAAGGGCCUCCCAAGGAUCCCUGGUAUCCUCUGAGAGCUCUGAGCUGCCGCACCAAUUUGAAGCUGACUUCAUUUUUGGUCUUCCCCUUCAGCAGAAAAGCUCAGACAGCCGAGCCAAGCGAGACGCUGGAUUUCCUUUGGCAUCAAGGAAAGCAUCGUGAGAUGUUCUGAUGCCCUCUCACAAUUCUUUCUCCCUCCGCCAGCACCAGAGCUGGCGUCCAAAGACGCAAUGACACUGCCACAGGCAUUGUGGAGAUUUCUAUGGGAUAGGGCCAUGGUAAGGCUUUAUUGACAGAGGGAGGGACAAUGAAGAUUGGAUGUCAGGGAGAAG